rnacentral:tRNA from 1 species
GCCCUCAUGGCUCAGGGGUAGAGCGUCGCACUCGUACUGUCCAACAGUUAAUGCGAAGGUCCGUCGUUCAAAUCGGCGUGGGGGCA